GAUGAACGCUGGCGGCGUGCCUAAUACAUGCAAGUCGAGCGAAUGGAUUAAGAGCUUGCUCUUAUGAAGUUAGCGGCGGACGGGUGAGUAACACGUGGGUAACCUGCCCAUAAGACUGGGAUAACUCCGGGAAACCGGGGCUAAUACCGGAUAACAUUUUGAACCGCAUGGUUCGAAAUUGAAAGGCGGCUUCGGCUGUCACUUAUGGAUGGACCCGCGUCGCCUUAGCUAGUUGGUGAGGUAACGGCUCACCAAGGCAACGAUGCGUAGCCGACCUGAGAGGGUGAUCGGCCACACUGGGGCUGAGACACGGCCCAGACUCCUACGGGAGGCAGCAGUAGGGAAUCUUCCGCAAUGGACGAAAGUCUGACGGAGCAACGCCGCGUGAGUGAUGAAGGCUUUCGGGUCGUAAAACUCUGUUGUUAGGGAAGAACAAGUGCUAGUUGAAUAAGCUGGCACCUUGACGGUACCUAACCAGAAAGCCACGGCUAACUACGUGCCAGCAGCCGCCGCGG
rnacentral:rRNA from 1 species